rnacentral:rRNA from 1 species
UCCUACGGGACGCAGCAGUGAGGAAUAUUGGUCAAUGGCCGAGAGGCUGAACCAGCCAAGUCGCGUGAGGGAAGAAUGUCCUAUGGAUUGUAAACCUCUUUUGUCAGGGAGCAAAGUCACCCACGUGUGGGUGUUGGAGAGUACCUGAAGAAAAAGCAUCGGCUAACUCCGUGCCAGCAGCCGCGGUAAUACGGAGGAUGCGAGCGUUAUCCGGAUUUAUUGGGUUUAAAGGGUGCGCAGGCGGUCUGUUAAGUCAGCGGUCAAAGCCCGGGGCUCAACCCCGGCCCGCCGUUGAAACUGGCAGU